GCUGAGGAUGGGUCUGCGGCCUAUCAGCUGUAGGGGGUUUAACAGACCCCUAGGCUUCGACGGGUACGGGCUAUGGGAGUAGUCGCCCGGAGAUGGACUCUGAGACACGAGUCCAGGCCCUACGGGGCGCAGCAGUCGCGAAAACUUCCCAAUGUGGGAAACCACGAGGAGGGAACUCCCAGUGCGUGCACUUUGUGUACGCUGUUCUCCUGUCUAAAACGCAGGAGAAGUAAGGGCCGGGUAAGACGGGUGCCAGCCGCCGCGGUAAUACCCGCGGCCCGAGUGGUGCUCAUUAUUAUUGAGUCUAAAACGUCCGUAGCCGGCCUGGUAGAUGCCUGGGUAAAUCGGGGCGCUUAACGUUCCGAAUUCCGGGUAGACCGCCAGGCUAGGGACCGGGAGAGGCUGGAGGUACUCCGGGGGUAGGGAUAAAAUCCUGUAAUCCUCGGAGGACCACCAGUGGCGAAGGCGUCCAGCUAGAACGGAUCCGACGGUCGGGGACGAAGCCCAGGGGCGCAAACGGGAUUAGAUACCCCGGUAGUCCUGGGUGUAAACGCUGCAGGCUUGGUGUCGGGGGUCCUACGAGGGCCCCCGGUGCCGGAGCGAAGGUGUUAAGCCUGCUACUUGGGGAGUACGGCCGCAAGGCUGAAACUUAAAGGAAUUGGCGGGGGGGCACCGCAACGGGAGGAGCGUGCGGUUCAAUUGGAUUCAACGCCGGAAAACUCACCGGGGGCGACCCUUACAUGAAGGCCAGGCCAAUGACCUUGCCUGAUUUUGGGAGAGGUGGUGCAUGGCCGUCGUCAGUUCGUACCGUAAGGCGUUCUGUCAAGUCAGAUAACGAACGAGACCCUCGCCCAUAAUUGCGACGUUGAUCUUCGGAUCGGCGGCACACUAUGGGGACCGCUAGCGCUAGC
rnacentral:rRNA from 1 species